GGGUUAUAUAUCUUACUAGAUAGUAAAAUCUCAAGCAAAGGGGGAGCGUUGCAGAGACCAAUACAGGAAUAAUGUCAGUUAAAUAUCUGUAAUACUUUAGUGCUCUCCAAAAGUGGAAUGGCUGAUUGGAAAGGUUUAUUUAUCUUAGAAGUCUUCAAACCAAGAAAACAUGACCACUUGUCAAGCAUGUUGGAAUGAGGGUGUCUUGUCAGAAUGGAUUAGUUCAGAUAGCCACUGAGGUCCCUGCCACAUCUAAAUUCUGCAUUUCUGGGCCUCUGCAAGUAAAUCUAGCUUUCAGCCACCCAUGUUAACUCUUUCUUCCAGGAGAACAGACACCUUAAAUGGCAGAUAUCAUUACUGUUUGAUGCAUUUCAGAAUCAGAGCAUAACUGCAUGACAGCUACAAAUGAAUUCUGUUUUCUUUAAAACACUCACUUGCAUUAUGUUGGUAAGGCUGCCAAGCCCUGUUGUGGGUGGCAGUAAGUACCCAGCACAGCAUGGUGUUACUCUUGUCUCCCCUUGUCGCAGAGGACAAAUUACAGAGACUUCACUAAGCCUCUUAAUGAGAAGACAGUACAACUUGUUAACAGUAAUCUGCCAAAUAAAGGGAUAAACAGCAGCCAUUAUCUAUGAAAAGAAUAUGGCCACAUGUCUUUCCUUUGGAUUGACAGAUUUUAUUGGAGAUGUAUUACCACCCUGAGAGAUGGGCCACUGGGGCUCCACUAGGGAUUCUUAGUUUCAGAGAUUCUUAGAGUUGGAGAGGCAAUAUGAUGGAGCAAAUGGAGUGUUAGACAUUGGAAUUAGGAAAACCUUUAGUCUGCUUCAGACUUGCACUAGCUAUACAGCCCUAAGAAAGUCAGCGUACCAUUCUAAGCCUGUUUUCUCAUAAGUAAGAUAAUGAAUUUGCCUUCAUCGGCUUCUAAAAUCUCUUUUAUUUAAUUAUGAAUCUAUGAUUCUAUGAUGUAUUCAGUCUGGACCAGCGAUGGCAAACCUUUUACCAUGUACCAUGACUUGCCUGCAGAGACUGAGUGCUAUCCUCUGCCCCCACCCAAGUGCCUGCCCAUCCUCCUUACCCCCAGACAGGGGGAAAAUCUGGACCAGGGUAUGCAUCAGUCUCUCAUGUUAUUCCUGUCUGGGACUCCUCAUUUUCUUUGUUACCAUUGUAAAGUCAAUAAACUAUCCUCUCUUGCCUUCAGUCCUCAGUUCCCCUAAAAGGGUAUUUAAGUUUUCCAAUUUUAAUGACUCUUUGAAGAGGUCAACCUAACAUGGCUAGCUCUCCUAGGGGGUCAGUGACCAGAGCAACCAGGGUCCUGGGGACUCUGCAUGGGUUUGUAGUGCACACCUCUGAGUGGAGGCCUAAUAAUACACUCACCCCCU
rnacentral:lncRNA from 1 species